AACGCACAUUGCGCCCGCCAGCACUCUGGCGGGCAUGCCUGUCCGAGCGUCAUUUACCACCCUCGGGCCCCCUGGGGGGCCCGGUGCUGGGGGCACGGCCGAGGCCGCCCCCUAAAUGCAGUGGCGACCCCGCCGCGUCCUCCCCUGCGCAGUAGCACAAUCUCGCACCGGAAGCGCGGAGGCGGUCACGCCUGGAAACGCCCCAACUCAACGCAGUUGACCUCGGAUCAGGUAGGAGUACCCGCUGAACUUAA
rnacentral:misc_RNA from 1 species